rnacentral:rRNA from 1 species
CCUACGGGGGGCUGCAGUGGGGAAUAUUGGACAAUGGGGGGAACCCUGAUCCAGCCAUGCCGCGUGUGUGAAGAAGGCCCUCGGGUUGUAAAGCACUUUCAGUGAGGAAGAACGCCUGGUGGUUAAUACCCAUCAGGAAAGACAUCACUCACAGAAGAAGCACCGGCUAACUCCGUGCCAGCAGCCGCGGUAAUACGGAGGGUGCGAGCGUUAAUCGGAAUUACUGGGCGUAAAGCGCGCGUAGGUGGCUUGAUAAGCCGGUUGUGAAAGCCCCGGGCUCAACCUGGGAACGGCAUCCGGAACUGUCAAGCUAGAGUGCAGGAGAGGAAGGUAGAAGUCCCGGUGUAGCGGUGAAAUGCGUAGAGAUCGGGAGGAAUACCAGUGGCGAAGGCGGCCUUCUGGACUGACACUGACACUGAGGUGCGAAAGCGUGGGUAGCAAACAGGAUUAGAUACCCUGGUAGUC